AGUGAACGCUGGCGGCAGGCCUAACACAUGCAAGUCGAACGGCAGCACAGAGGAGCUUGCUCCUUGGGUGGCGAGUGGCGGACGGGUGAGGAAUACAUCGGAAUCUGCCUAUUUGUGGGGGAUAACGUAGGGAAACUUACGCUAAUACCGCAUACGACCUACGGGUGAAAGCGGAGGACCUUCGGGCUUCGCGCAGAUAGAUGAGCCGAUGUCGGAUUAGCUAGUUGGCGGGGUAAAGGCCCACCAAGGCGACGAUCCGUAGCUGGUCUGAGAGGAUGAUCAGCCACACUGGAACUGAGACACGGUCCAGACUCCUACGGGAGGCGGCAGUGGGGAAUAUUGGACAAUGGGCGCAAGCCUGAUCCAGCCAUGCCGCGUGGGUGAAGAAGGCCUUCGGGUUGUAAAGCCCUUUUGUUGGGAAAGAAAAGCAGUCGGUUAAUACCCGAUUGUUCUGACGGUACCCAAAGAAUAAGCACCGGCUAACUUCGUGCCAGCCGCCGCAGUAA
rnacentral:rRNA from 1 species